rnacentral:lncRNA from 10 species
UGGGAGGCUGAGGCGGGGGGAUCACCUGAGGUCAGGAGUUCAAGACCAGCCUGACCAACACGGAGAAACCCCUGUCUCUACUAAAAAUACAAAAUUUGAUGGGCGUGGUGGUACAUGCCUGUAAUCCCAGCUACUUGGGAGGCCGAGGCAGGAGAAUCGCUUGAACCUGGGAGGCGGAGGUUGCGGGGAGCUGAGAUCGCACCAUUGCACUCCAGCCUGGGCAACAAGAGUGAAACUCCGUCUCAAAAAAAAAAAA